GAUUUCUGACGAACCGGAGUGGCCCGUUCUCUUUGCGAGAAUGAGUGCCGCUUUGAGUUUGUCAUCCUUCCAGAGAGCUGCGUCUACCGUUUACUCGGCCGGAUGUAUGCGAUCUGGAUCUAUUACUUUGAAAAAAUUAGAGUGUUUAAAGCAGGCUUAUGCUAUGAAUACAUUAGCAUGGAAUAAUAAUAUAGGACUUCGGUCUUAUUUUGUUGGUUUCUAGGGCUGAAGUAAUGAUUGAUAGGGAUAGUUGGGGGUGCUAGUAUUCCGUGGCCAGAGGUGAAAUUCUUGGAUUCGCGGAAGACUAACUACUGCGAAAGCAUU
rnacentral:rRNA from 1 species